rnacentral:lncRNA from 1 species
UUGCCAAGCAAUCAAUACAUCCAUUUAUUUGAUUUCAUUGUAUAACUGUAUUGAAAACAGUCCGGGGUCUGGACACCUGGUCCCUCUGGCUGGCCAGGUCUUGGUCCUUGGACUACCAUCUAGUCUGUGCCUCAGCUGUUUUGCUGGCUUUUUUCUGGCUCUUUUUUGGAUCCUGGAGGGCUGACUUAAGCAAAUCCUUAGUAAAGGAAAGAACCCAGCAGCCUCUCCUCAAACCAGUAGGCAGCUUCCAUACAGCCUCACAGACAGGUGGCCCAGGAGUGACUUUAUCCACAUUUUUCUCCCAAAAAUGGCUUUUGUGUCCAGGAGCUCCAGGCCCUGAAGGAUGCUGCUUUGCUUAGGAAGAAAGAGUGGCAGACUUCUCAUGGGCUGAUGUGCCAAGAAUGGCUGAGGUUGGGUCUCAGUGGAUGGCAGGGCUUGCAGGGAAGGCAGCAGACAAAACCCUGGAAAUCUUGUGAUUCAUAGUUGACAACAAUCCAUGCGUGGUUGGGGUUCUCGAAAUGUAGUCCUUGGACCAGCAGCAUCAUAUCAUCUCAGUGACUGAAGAGAAUGGGUGGUUGGCUGUAGAUCCACCAUUCGGUGAUUGAUUCUGGAAGCAUCUGUCUUGUUUUUCAGCCACCUUACAAAAUGUCCUGGAACUUCUGUCCCCAUCAGUACACAGAGAGCUUCCUCAUUC